UAUUAAAAUUUUCUUUCAUUUGUACUAUUAAAAAUUAGCGUGGAUGACGAAGUAACCAAACAAUAGCACACGGCGUGCCAUGUAUAUCUCAUGCUGACGUACAGAGAUUAAUUUUUAAUAGUAAAAUUGGAUAAAAAAUUUUAACU
rfam:Gossypium raimondii Chr08_contig_877, whole genome shotgun sequence.